GUCCCUGUUGGUCGGUCCGCCUUCUUGGUGUGUACUUACUCGACGGGGACUUACCUCCUGGUGAGCUGUGAUGUCCUUUACUGGGUGUCAUAGGGAACCAGGACGUUUACUUUGAAAAAAUUAGAGUGUUCAAAGCAGGCAUUAGCUUGAAUACAUUAGCAUGGAAUAAUAAAAUAGGAC
rnacentral:rRNA from 1 species